GCGCCCAUCGUCUAUCGGUUAGGACGCCACCCUUUCACGGUGGAGAGCGGGGUUCGAUUCCCCGUGGGCGUACCA
rnacentral:tRNA from 1 species